GCGCUGAUUGAGAGCUGUGCGUGCAACCCAAAUACAAGGAUAUAAAAUUUGUAUCGAAAGAUCUACGUUAUCAACGCAGGCUUGUUGGUGAAUGGGUGCUUAUCAAUUGCACAGUUAAUUACCAUGACAUUAAUGUUCAACUUUUGGAUGAAAACGAGAAGCCUUUACAUGUUGAGAACAAAAACAUUAAAAUUGUAGCAAAAAAUAUCUUUAAUGUGACAAAAGUAACACAAGACAUCAAAGAGUACAUCUGCAAAGCUUGCAAUGAGAAAAGAACUAUACGUGUCAUCCCUCAAAAAAGUGUGCCAUCCAUGCGAAUCCUUCAAUUACGGUAGAA